rnacentral:rRNA from 1 species
UACGGAGGGUGCAAGCGUUGUUCGGAAUCACUGGGCGUAAAGCGCGUGUAGGCGGUCUGCUAAGUCUGAUAUGAAAGCCCGGGGCUCACCCUCGGAAGUGCAUUGGAAACUGGCAGACUGGAGUCCCGGAGAGGAGGGUGGAAUUCCUGGUGUAGCGGUGAAAUGCGUAGAUAUCAGGAGGAACACCGGUGGCGAAGGCGGCCCUCUGGACGGUGACUGACGCUGAGACGCGAAAGCGUGGGGAGCAAACAGG